AGCGAACGCUGGCGGCAGGCUUAACACAUGCAAGUCGAACGGGCAUCUUCGGAUGUCAGUGGCAGACGGGUGAGUAACACGUGGGAACGUACCCUUCGGCUCGGAAUAACUCAGGGAAACUUGAGCUAAUACCGGAUACGCCCUUUUGGGGAAAGGUUUACUGCCGAAGGAUCGGCCCGCGUCUGAUUAGCUUGUUGGUGGGGUAACGGCCUACCAAGGCGACGAUCAGUAGCUGGUCUGAGAGGAUGAUCAGCCACACUGGGACUGAGACACGGCCCAGACUCCUACGGGAGGCAGCAGUGGGGAAUAUUGGACAAUGGGCGCAAGCCUGAUCCAGCCAUGCCGCGUGAGUGAUGAAGGCCUUAGGGUUGUAAAGCUCUUUUGUCCGGGACGAUAAUGACGGUACCGGAAGAAUAAGCCCCGGCUAACUUCGUG
rnacentral:rRNA from 1 species